rnacentral:sRNA from 2 species
UUAAUCAUUUUGCCGAAUUUCAAUAGGAAAACGGGGGAACCGAUCCGGGUGAAUUAUUCUUGUAACAGAGGGAAUAUAGGUUACCUUCAACCGAACCCUUAGCUAACUCCGUAGGCACCGAAGGGAGAACGU